rnacentral:rRNA from 1 species
UACGAAGGGGGCUAGCGUUGCUCGGAAUCACUGGGCGUAAGGCGCACGUAGGCGGCUUGUUAAGUCAGGGGUGAAAUCCUGGAGCUCAACUCCAGAACUGCCUUUGAUACUGGCGAGCUUGAGUCCGGGAGAGGUGAGUGGAACUGCGAGUGUAGAGGUGAAAUUCGUAGAUAUUCGCAAGAACACCAGUGGCGAAGGCGGCUCACUGGCCCGGUACUGACGCUGAGGUGCGAAAGCGUGGGGAGCAAACAGG